AAAAUGCAAGGUAUCUAACUCCAUAGUGACCCCUUUUGGAGGUCACUAUGGAGUUAGAUACCUUGAAUUUU